UAUUAAUGGUGCCGCUGGAGGCACCUUCCCAUGUGUUGCUACGUGUACCCCUUGGGAGGAGCACCUGGGGAGAAGAGAUUGCCCGGUAUAUUGUAGGGCUCCGUCAGUGAAGCAGCACCCGGCCUGUUGCAGCGCUGCUUGCGUGGGGCUGUCAGGGCCCAAGAUGGCGGCGUUUCGCGCCCUUUCUAGCGGGCUACACAAGAGGGACAGCAAGGCCCAACUACUCCUAGGCUGGACUCCGAUCUUCUCAGCUGGUUCCCAGUAAAUGGCGCAGGUGUUCGUCUUCUGAGGUCCGCCUCUCAGGGGGACCGUUCGGCAAGGCUUGUCGGCACAGUCGGGCGGAGAACCCGCUCGCGCGUCUUCUUGGGAGUGAGCAGACAGGCCACAGGAGGAAGGCUCCGGAGCGGAUCCCCGACCCUCCGGAGCAAAGUGGCACAGGGCAGACCGAUUUGAUACUCCAUUGCAACCAUAUACUUCAAUGCAGGCAUCCCCAAAGAGAUUAUCACCAUCAGCUCACAUGGUCUCUCCAAGGCUCCUGGGGAAUCAAGCACAAACAAUGCAGACAACUCACUCCUCGGUCAUUUCGAUGAUUGACAGUUCUGAGGCUCUCAGGCGUGAACUUGAAAGAGAGAAGAUGAUGAAAAGACUUUUGAUGACAGAACUAUAAAACUUCUGUAUUAAAUCAAGAGAAUACUGGACUAGUGCCUUCUCUCUUUUUACAUUCCACUGUGUUCAAAAGGCAAUGCAUUCCACAAUGGAGUAUGUGUCUUAUAUAUCGAUUCAUGGGCUACACUAGUGAUGGAGAUGGUUUUUAGUACUAUAAUAUUCAUACGUAUUGCAUGUACAAAAAAUAUCUCCACUGAUGUUUAUCAUGUAUAUAUUUUUGUAAAUACAUUCUGAGAUAUUAACAGAGAUGAACAUUAUGCACAAUAUUUUAGUAGCUGAAACACACAAUUUAUUAUUAAACAUAUAUGCUACAGUUUUUUUUUCCAGUAAAGUUGACCAAUGGUUUUUACAUGAAUCAUUACUAUAGCGUGAAUGUUAGUUUGAGAUUGGUAAUCAUUUCCAAUUUUGAAUUUUCAACAUGGACUUAUAACCAAAGUGAACCUUUUAUCCCAAAACAACCUAGAUUCAGAAACAAUGAAAAUGUCAGCCAACUAAAUGAUGCUCGCUUUGUAAGUUCCCUUUAAUAGACAUUCAAAACUUGAUAUAUACCAAGUCCCCCAUUUCAUAAUGCAUAUAAGUCUAUAUACAUACUCUAGUCUAUAAACGCUCACACAACUGAUUGCCAAUUUGAAGUAUGGAGUGAUAAUUUGCCAAAAAUUAUGUUCUUGUGAUGUCUUAUGCUGUUAUGACUCCUCCCUCCAUUAAGGGGAUAUAUAAGUCCCUAGCAAACAUAAUGGCCAUUAAAAAGUUCACAGUAUGAGAUUAAAAAAUACCUAUCAAAACAUCUGAAUUGCAGUGUUAGAAAAUGCCAGAGGUACCACUGCAUAUCAUGUUUCCACUGCCCUCCAUGUGCAUACUUUCCUGAAAUACUCUUAACAAACUUAUGAUUGGUGCAGAGAAGGUAGAAGCUAUUCCAGUACUAAUAAAGUGAUAAUGUAUGGGAGAGUGACUUUUGAUGGAAGUGCAAACUUUUUAAAGACCCUUAUUAUUUUGUAGAGAUUUUUAUGUUUCUUUGUUAUAUUUUGCCAUACAGAAACACGCCCAUAUAUCUCAAACAUAAUCUAUUUUUAAUUGAUUUUUUUUACCAGGUAUAACUAAUGUUUUUAAAAAUAAGCCAUUUUAUUUUAGGGAUUAUAGAUAAACAUUAAAGAAAAUGUGAAAUAGGUUGCAGACAUGGGUAUCCACUGGGGGAGCAAAAGGGGGCAAAAUGCUCAUCUAUGGCACAUAUCAAGGACCCAAUACUCUAAAUCUCUAUGAUGUGGUGAGAUUAUCUUUAUAAAUAUGUCAGUAAUGUGAGGGAUUAUUUAACAAAUUUUAGAAAAUCAAAUUUUAGCUUGAGAUCUGCAUAUCUUUUUAAACAUGGUUCUACCACAUGCACAGCGAAAAUGACGGUUUCCCACCUUGUUAUGCACCAGUUUUACAAUUGUGCACAUUGUAGGCUCUGAAACGGUGCAUCUGUGCAGAUAUACUACACUCAGGAGACCAUUUACCCUUUAAUUUUUUUCAAAUUACCCUUACUUGACCUUCUAGACAGCACAUGGAUGAUGUAAAAAAUGUCAUUUUAAUCCAUUAAUCACCAGGUUUAGAAUACAAAAAUAGGGGAUGGUGCUUAAAGUUGUGUGUAUUUCUCCGUAAACUUAAAACAGAUAUUAAUUGGCUGGACACAACUUUAACAGAAUGGUUACUGCUCACUAAACUAUUGUUUUUUUCUCCUGUGCUUAAAGGAAUACUGAAUACUGAACAGAGCAUGCA